AACAUUUUUCAUUCAUGGAAAAAUUCAAAGACAGUUACAUGGUGAAGCAAUAUUGAAAGCCCAUGCAACCCGAAUACAAUUUAUCCCAAAUUGACCCAAACAUACAGAUCGAUUAAUCUUCCACGUAUCCCACCGCUUUCACGCUUGAUGACACACGUCCAUUUCAUUGCACACGAGAUUGGAGAUUGUGACACGACACCUUCUCGAUAAUCGACAGUGGCCGUCACCGUCGCCGGAAUUUUCAUGCUUCCCGGUAUCCUCUUCCGUUCCAACCGACGCCAUUGUUGGGUCAUCUUUCAUCUUCGGAUUAGAACCUUGAGGUUACUCUGAUUGAUUAACGACAUGAUUCUUUGUAGGACCGUUCAUAAGAACGCCAACUCUGCUGAGUCCUUGCUGAAUGAAUCGAACAUAACCCUUCAUCAUCUCCAUCCUUUCUGACAGGAAAGCUUUACCACAAGCCGAUUAACGACAAAAUCAGAGACAGGUAAAGACUUAUUUCCAAGGAAAGGAGUCAAAGCAUGUCCUAUGAUAAAGAUAAACCAAUUCAAGCAGAUCGGGAUGUAACAGAGUACACAAAAAGAUUUGAUCUGAUUUUGGGCUGGAAACACGGCAAAAUUCGCCUAUGCAAAGCUAGAUCCGCUAAACGGAAAACAUAAGUCGGUUUCUAAACCGAAGAUUUAUAUCUUACAUAAAAAAACAAAGACAUGUGAAAGAUAUGGUUGUGUGAACAGGGAGAAGAGAGAAAGAGAUCUCUCUCUAGUUGAUCGUACGCUUAUGUGUAUGAUCUACCAUUUUAACUUAUUUUCUAUUCAAACCCUUAAAUAGAGAAU
rnacentral:lncRNA from 1 species